UACAGAGGUCUCAAGCGUUGUUCGGAUUCAUUGGGCGUAAAGGGUGUGUAGGUGGCGCGCUAAGUCGGGUGUGAAAUUUCGGAGCUUAACUCCGAAACUGCAUUCGAUACUGGCGUGCUUGAGGACUGGAGAGGAGACUGGAAUUCAUGGUGUAGCAGUGAAAUGCGUAGAGAUUGGGAAGAACACCGGUGGCGAAAGCGCUCUGCUAGGACAAUACUGACACUGAGGGACGAAAGCUAGGGGAGCGAAUGGG
rnacentral:rRNA from 1 species